UUAUUGUUUUUGUUCUGAUUAUUAUUUUUUUUUUUUUCUUCCGCCAAAUUUUGUUCUUGCGCAAAAUGUUUGUUUCGCAAUAAGUCGCUUAGAUAUUUCUCAUAUGGUAUCGUAUAGUUUAUGCGCUUUUAAAUUUCACCUGCUAAGGCGAACAUUUUCUAUGUAAGAGUUAGCUCCCUUUUCACUGUUUAUCCUCUGUGUGCAUCUCCUUCGUAACAAAACAAGAUAGCGACAAAAUUCUUUUUCAAAUUGUUCGUACAUCUCAAGUAAUUUUUGGCGUAUUUGGAUCGAAGCGAUUCGAUGAAAUUUUAUAGGAGUUAUCUACCUUUACAAAAUAAAUUUGUCGGUAUGUUUAUUUAACUCAUAAACAGUUAACCGUAUAACCCUGGAAUGUUUUUAUUUGAGUCCCCUAGGUCCUUACUUAGAAAAUGAGGUCAAGGUCAAAGG
rnacentral:lncRNA from 1 species